rnacentral:rRNA from 1 species
CCCUUAGAUGUCCUGGGCCGCACGCGCGCUACACUGAUCAGUGCAACAAGCAUCCGUCCUUGGCCGACAGGCCCGGGCAAUCUUUGAACGCUGAUCGUGAUGGGGAUAGACUUUUGCAAUUUUUGGUCUUCAACGAGGAAUUCCUAGUAAACGCAAGUCAUCAACUUGCAUUGAUUACGUCCCUGCCCUUUGUACACACCGCCCGUCGCACCUACCGAUUGAAUGGUCCGGUGAAGCCUCCGGAUUGGCGUGCACCCUCGGGUGCUGCCGAGAAGUUGGCUAAACCUUACCAUUUAGAGGAAGGUGAANUCGUANCA